GCGGGAAUAGCUCAAUUGGCUAGAGCAUCGGCUUUCCAAGCCGAGGGUUGAGGGUUCGAGACCCUUUUCCCGCUCCA
rnacentral:tRNA from 4 species